AGUACAGCAUGGCAGGGUCCAUGCCCGGGGGGGCCAUGCCCGGGGCACUCACCAGUACAGCGUGGCAGGGUCCGUGCCCGGGGGGGGUCCGUGCCCGGGGCACUCACCAGUACAGCGUGGCAGGGUCCGUGCCCGGGGGCUCUGUGCCCGGGGGGGCUCUGUGCCCGGGGGGGUCCGUGCCCGGGGCACUCACCAGUACAGCGUGGCAGGGUCCGUGCCCGGGGGCUCUGUGCCCGGGGGGGCUCUGUGCCCGGGGGGGGCCAUGCCCGGGGCACUCACCAGUACAGCGUGGCAGGGUCCGUGCCCGGGGGGGGUCCGUGCCCGGGGGGCUCUGUGCCCGGGUGGGCCAUGCCCGGGGCACUCACCAGUACAGCGUGGCAGGGUCCGUGCCCGGGGGGCUCUGUGCCCGGGGGGGCCAUGCCCAGGGCACUCACCAGUACAGCGUGGCAGGGUCCGUGCCCGGGGGGCUCUGUGCCCGGGGGGGCCAUGCCCGGGGCACUCACCAGUACAGCGUGGCAGGGUCCGUGCCCGGGGGGGGUCCGUGCCCGGGGGGCUCUGUGCCCAGGGGGGCCAUGCCCGGGGCACUCACCAGUACAGCGUGGCAGGGUCC